rnacentral:lncRNA from 1 species
GCGUUUUCAAUCGCUCACCUGCAGAGCCGCCAGAUUCUGGCCAAUCUCGGCUUUUUUCCCUCUCACUGUGGGUUCUUCAGAGCCCCAUGGUUUAGACACAACGGUGGAUUCUCUUGUGCCCCAAUUACCACAUGCGUCAUGGGGAGAAGAGCUUGAACCCCCCAGAGGGUCAGGUCCAGGGACUUGAGCAUCCAUGGAUUUUGGUGCCUGAGGAGAGUCCUGGAACCAAUCCCCCAUGGAUACUGAGGGACAACUGUAAUCUUUUUUGGAAUAAGGAAUUAAAAAUUUCCCCAAAAUG